UACGGAGGGUGCAAGCGUUAUCCGGAUUCACGGGGUUUAAAGGGUGCGUAGGCGGGUUGGAAAGUCCGGGGGGAAAUCCCCAAGCUUAACUUGGGAACUGCCGUGGAUACUAUCAAUCUUGAAUAUCGUGGAGGUAAGCGGAAUAUGUCAUGUAGCGGUCAAAUGCUUAGAUAUGACAUAGAACACCAAUUGCGUAGGCAGCUUACUACACGAUCAUUGACGCUGAGGCACGAAAGCGUGGGGAGCAAACAGG
rnacentral:rRNA from 1 species